rnacentral:sRNA from 1 species
GAUAGAUAGUUCGGUACUCAAGGGUGGUUGGCUUUCUCCUAAAUAGAUCAGACUAAUUUGUCCAUAACGUGUGGCAUCGUCUGUACAAGGAGGUGAUGCCAUGACGGUAUAUGAAUCAUUAACGUUUGCGAUUGCAUUCGCUACCUUAAUCAUUACAAUUCUGUCAUUCAACCAUAAAAAAUAACCCAUCCUUGAGUUAACGGCUCUGAUGGGUUGUCAUAUCCUAAAUGAGCUAAUCCCCCUAUCGGGAAUCAACUAUCAUCUAUUUAACCGUCCGAUGCUACAACAUCGGCG